rnacentral:rRNA from 1 species
ACGGAAGGCAGCAGUGGGGAAUAUUGCACAAUGGGGGAAACCCUGAUGCAGCGACGCCGCGUGAAGGAAGAAGUAUCUCGGUAUGUAAACUUCUAUCAGCAGGGAAGAAAAUGACGGUACCUGACUAAGAAGCCCCGGCUAACUACGUGCCAGCAGCCGCGGUAAUACGUAGGGGGCAAGCGUUAUCCGGAUUUACUGGGUGUAAAGGGAGCGUAGACGGUCUGGCAAGUCUGAUGUGAAAGGCAGGGGCUCAACUCCUGGACUGCAUUGGAAACUGUCAGUCUUGAGUGUCGGAGAGGUAAGCGGAAUUCCUAGUGUAGCGGUGAAAUGCGUAGAUAUUAGGAGGAACACCAGUGGCGAAGGCGGCUUACUGGACGAUAACUGACGUUGAGGCUCGAAAGCGUGGGGAGCAAACAGGAUUAGAUACCCUGGUA